AUUGAACGCUGGCGGCAGGCCUAACACAUGCAAGUCGAACGGUAACAGAAAGCAUCUUGCUGCUUUGCUGACGAGUGGCGGACGGGUGAGUAAUGUCUGGGAAACUGCCUGAUGGAGGGGGAUAACUACUGGAAACGGUAGCUAAUACCGCAUAACGUCGCAAGACCAAAGAGGGGGACCUUCGGGCCUCUUGCCAUCGGAUGUGCCCAGAUGGGAUUAGCUUGUUGGUGGGGUAACGGCUCACCAAGGCGACGAUCCCUAGCUGGUCUGAGAGGAUGACCAGCCACACUGGAACUGAGACACGGUCCAGACUCCUACGGGAGGCAGCAGUGGGGAAUAUUGCACAAUGGGCGCAAGCCUGAUGCAGCCAUGCCGCGUGUAUGAAGAAGGCCUUCGGGUUGUAAAGUACUUUCAGCGGGGAGGAAGGGAGUAAAGUUAAUACCUUUGCUCAUUGACGUUACCCGCAGAAGAAGCACCGGCUAACUCCGUG
rnacentral:rRNA from 1 species